UAUAUUAUGAGACACUGAAAUAGUUUAAAAACAUUGAGAGCAGAAAGAGAGGAGGAAUUCAUAACUUUUCAUCUUAUAUUUUAUCAUUUUGGAUUCAGAAAAAAACAAGAUGGAUGUCAAAAAGAAAGUAUCAAUACUCCUGAUUUUAAUAGUGGCACGUACAACAGUGGAAUCAACAACUGCGGCACAGACAACAACGCCCGCCCCUACAACAACUCUCGCACCUACAACAACACCGGUGCCAACAACAACUCC